rnacentral:rRNA from 1 species
CACUCCUACGGGAGGCAGCAGUGGGGAAUUUUGGACAAUGGGCGAAAGCCUGAUCCAGCAAUGCCGCGUGAGUGAAGAAGGCCUUCGGGUUGUAAAGCUCUUUUGUCAGGGAAGAAACGGUGAAAGCUAAUAUCUUUUGCUAAUGACGGUACCUGUAGAAUAAGCACCGGCUAACUACGUGCCAGCAGCCGCGGUAAUACGUAGGGUGCAAGCGUUAAUCGGAAUUACUGGGCGUAAAGCGUGCGCAGGCGGUUUUGUAAGUCUGAUGUGAAAUCCCCGGGCUCAACCUGGGAAUUGCAUUGGAGACUGCAAGGCUAGAAUCUGGCAGAGGGGGGUAGAAUUCCACGUGUAGCAGUGAAAUGCGUAGAUAUGUGGAGGAACACCGAUGGCGAAGGCAGCCCCCUGGGUCAAGAUUGACGCUCAUGCACGAAAGCGUGGGGAGCAAACAGGAUUAGAUACCCCAGUAGUCC